CCGUAGCCCAAGAGAUCGGGAUAACACCUGGAAACAGAUGCUAAUACCGGAUAACAACAGAUGAUGCCUAUCAACUGUGUAAAAGAUGGUUCUGCUAUCACUCUUGGAUGGACCUGCGGUGCAUUAGCUAGUUGGUAGGGUAACGGCCUACCAAGGCGAUGAUGCAUAGCCGAGUUGAGAGACUGAUCGGCCACAUUGGGACUGAGACACGGCCCAAACUCCUACGGGAGGCAGCAGCC
rnacentral:rRNA from 1 species